ACCUAAAUCAAAAUCCUCCCCCAAAACUUUACCCAAACUAAAAUUUUCUCCCAAAUUCUGAUUUUCCCCCGAAUUCUGAGCGACAGUUCAUGACUACCCUUUUUUUUGGUGUUUUGUUCAUCAAUCAUCACUGUCGAUUUUCAUUGGUAUUUUGUUCGAUUGUCGAAGUUCAAUUUUUGUCGUGAUUCAACUCGUCAUGGUGACACACUAAUUUAUCCGCCAACUGCAUCCGGCCACCGUAAGGAUGAUGGCGCCGUUGAAGCUAGGGAUGUAGGCGAGUUCCCAACGAUUUUCGUCGGAGAUUAUGGCGAUUUCGUUGAUUUUGGAGAGGGUUUCGAUGAGGUCAUCGUCGACUUAGAUUUUGCAGAGGGAGUGGAAGUUGUCAGCGGAGAAUUCCGGCGAGGGAGGUUAGAAACAUUGCGUUCUUCGCACCGCAUGGUCUUCUCCAACAGACUUGAUACAGCAGAGAGGGUGUUAUACAUGGUGCAUCAUCUACUAGACAUCCUUCAAGCUCCUGAUCCAAACACCAUAGAGUCUUUUCUGGGAAGAAUUCCUAUGGUAUUCAAUGUUGUAAUUGUAUCAGUAGCUGAUUACUUUGGCCAAGUAAAUAUCCUAGGUUUGCCUGAUACUAGUGGAAAGAUUGUUUAUAUACGUGAUUAAGUUCUUGCUUUAAAGAAGGAGAUGCUGGUCAGAAUUCAAAAACAAGGAGAUGGCAUUUAUUCUACUGAGGACCUUGCUCAAUUGAUCUUUGAUCUUCAUCAGAUUGCAGAUGCUAUUGAAAAUGGAAAGGGUGACACUGGUUUGUGGGCGUAUAGUUGGUGUCAUUGCAAAGAAGUAUGGUGACACCAAUUUUGCAGGGCAAUGUCUUGAUUUACAACUUAAUAUCCAAUAUUUGUAUUUAAAUUAAAGUUAACAAAGAUGUUCUCCCUGCUUCUAGAUUUACAAAAAUUGUGGCAAUCAUGUUUCUAGAUUUACAAGAAUUGUGGCAGUCAUUUGCUUGCAUCCUAACACCUGGAAUGAACAUUUGCUUGGUAUAGGAGAGGCUAAUGAUUAUGUUAGGAACGUAUCUUACUAAAAUUCUGCUGCUUUGGGUUGCCUAACAUCUGGUUUGGGAAAUUAAACAUGAAAUGUGUGCCUUUGGUAAUGGAGAGUGUGGGACCUGGUUACUUGAUUAUUUAUCCUAUUGUUCUUUAUUCAAAGAUGUAUUGUACUCGAUCAGUAAAAUUAGUCAUUCAUGGUAUUA